rnacentral:misc_RNA from 1 species
AACUUUCGGCAACGGAUCUCUUGGUUCCGGCAUCGAUGAAGAACGCAGCGAAAUGCGAUACGUAAUGUGAAUUGCAGAAUUCAGUGAAUCAUCGAGUCUUUGAACGCACAUUGCGCCCUCUGGUAUUCCGGAGGGCAUGCCUGUCCGAGCGUCAUUGCUGCCCUCAAGCACGGCUUGUGUGUUGGGCUCCGUCCCCCGAUCCCGGGGGGACGGGCCCGAAAGGCAGCGGCGGCACCGCGUCCGGUCCUCGAGCGUAUGGGGCUUUGUCACCCGCUCUGUAGGCCCGGCCGGCGCCUGCCGAUCAACCAAAUUUUUAUCCAGGUUGACCUCGGAUCAGGUAGGGAUACCCGCUGAACUUAAGCAUAUCAAUAAGCGGAGGCU